UCUACAAUGCGUUCCAACGUGAGAUUCCUGAGGCAAUCGGUCAGUCCUCUCUCCCCCAGCUCCACCUCCUUGUGACAGGACGGACAGGGGAACAGCAUGGGGGCAGGAGACAUGUCCUUACGACGACGCCCGGGGUACGUCCCAAAACCUGAGAGGUGGGGGGAGGAGGGGAUAGAUUUCCAAACCAACGAAGACACACCAACACCGUACAGACUUGGAUGCACAUUAUGCAGAAUGAGGGUCAUUUCAUAGGGAACUGGAGGAGGAGCUCUCCUAUUGUUACAUCAUCAACGUUCAGACAAUAAAUACCUGUUU